rnacentral:rRNA from 1 species
GUCCACGCCUAACGAUGUCAACUGGUUGUUGGGAAUUUAUUUCUCAGUAACGAAGCUAACGCGUGAAGUUGACCGCCUGGGGAGUACGGCCGCAAGGUUAAACUCAAAGGAAUUGACGGGACCCGCACAAGCGGUGGAUGAUGUUCUUUAAUUCGAUGCAACGCGAAACCUUACCACCUUUGACAUGUAUGGAAUCCUUUAGAGAUGAAGGAGUGCUCGAAAGAGAGCCAUAACACAGGUGCUGCAUGGCUGUCGU